rnacentral:rRNA from 1 species
AUGUCAAACCGAAAUCCUGAUGGCACACAGAGGCGUAGCCCACGUGUGAAAGCUAGUUCCCAACCUCGUAAUAGCAAAGCUGACGGGGAUAGUGUUGCUAUGAAAAUUGGUCCAAGCAAACUUGGUGGCUCCCCUGUUCGUCGGAGUCCACGAGGUUUGACAAAUAAGAAGCCUUCUUUGUCUCCUCUUCAAGAGCGGUCUUUGUUGAAUGAAAAUAAGAAGCGUAAAGUUCAUUCUGCAAAGGUGAACAAAGGUGUGAAGAAGAUGAUAUUGAACUUGAUUCUGAAGAUGAAUUUACAGUGGUGA